AAAAAGGAAAGAAAAGCUCCAUUCUCACUCCUUUCAGGAUAAACUGUCAUUAAAAUUGACUUUAAAUUUAGCAAGAUAAAAACAUUUACUUUCAUUACUGAUGUUCUCAAGUUUUAAUAAAGUUCAUGCUACUUUUAUAAAAUGAUGAAAAUUAAUAAAUUGUAUCUCUGUGAUCUGUGUUUGAUUUCUGUCUUUUCUCCUGUCAUCCAGAUGUUCAGAGGGAGAUGAUGCCACAUCUGGUCCAGCUGAUGGAAGGUCUUGAAGUUCUCUGACUGGCCUCGACUGAAGAUGGUCGUCUCACUGGAUUUAAGAUGCACGAGGGACGUCUGCAGAGACUGAGAAAGAGUCUCACCACAUCCUGACAUGAGGAAAAAGACUUUAUUGAAGACUACAAUGAGAAAAACUAUCCAGACAGCAGACGUCAUGCAUUCAAGGUGAGCUCUGAACAUUAGAUCUGGAACAGGAAUUCAAUAACGGCAGCAUGAGCUUCAUUUCAGACUGUAGCUGCUGAAUUCAUGGAUGAAUCAUCUGGCACUAGAAAGGAAGACCAUCAAACAUCCACAUCAGCUGAUGGAGGUCCAAGAGUCUCACCGAACAAACAACCUACAGAGUGAAGACCUCGAAUCUGAUUGGACGGCCUCCUAUUCAGCCACGUGUGAACAAAUGCCUCUAAGUUGAUUUGUUUUCUAAAAUAAAUCUAGUUUGAGUCCU
ensembl:lncRNA